AACGCUAGCUACAGGCUUAACACAUGCAAGUCGAGGGGCAGCAUGAUUGAAGCUUGCUUCAAUUGAUGGCGACCGGCGCACGGGUGAGUAACACGUAUCCAACCUUCCGUACACUCAGGGAUAGCCUUUCGAAAGAAAGAUUAAUACCUGAUGGUAUCUUAAGCACACAUGUAAUUAAGAUUAAAGAUUUAUCGGUGUACGAUGGGGAUGCGUUCCAUUAGGUAGUAGGCGGGGUAACGGCCCACCUAGCCUACGAUGGAUAGGGGUUCUGAGAGGAAGGUCCCCCACAUUGGAACUGAGACACGGUCCAAACUCCUACGGGAGGCAGCAGUGAGGAAUAUUGGUCAAUGGACGAGAGUCUGAACCAGCCAAGUAGCGUGAAGGAUGAAGGUCCUACGGAUUGUAAACUUCUUUUAUAAGGGAAUAAAACCUCCCACGUGUGGGAGCUUGUAUGUACCUUAUGAAUAAGCAUCGGCUAACUCCGUGCCAGCAGCCGCGGUAAUACGGAGGAUGCGAGCGUUAUCCGGAUUUAUUGGGUUUAAAGGGAGCGCAGACGGGUCGUUAAGUCAGCUGUGAAAGUUUGAGGCUCAACCUUAAAAUUGCAGUUGAUACCGGCGUCCUUGAGUACGGUUGAGGCAGGCGGAAUUCGUGGUGUAGCGGUGAAAUGCUUAGAUAUCACGAAGAACUCCGAUUG
rnacentral:rRNA from 1 species